ensembl:lncRNA
GAAACGGCCCCGGACGACAGGCAGCAGGUCAGAUAGCCUGCAGUUAGAUCUUAUCAGCCGAGAGCUGAAUUAAUCAUGGGCUGAGCGUUAUAACUGAAGGGAAUCGCUCAAACUGUGAGGGCAUGCUGCUACUCAGCUCGGUGCGAACUAAAGAACGAGGAGGAAUGAAAGGCGACCUCUGAUGAAGGCUGUAUUCAGCAUAUUAUCAGUGCCUCAGGGGACGGAAGAACCCAACGGAUCCUCCUUUAAGAACGAAAAGAUGCAGAUGUGAUGCAAGCUCAGCAAAAUCCCCGUGAUAAAUGGAGCCCCUUCCUAAUGGCUUACUUAUUUUAUCACUGGUUGCUGAACCGGUGCCUGCUUUACAGAUCUUCACACAGUUUUACACACAUAUAUAAUGUACAUAUAUCUGGACGAUCUGUAUACGUACAGUGAAAAUCAAUAUGUAAUCAAAGUCUAGUAUACCUGCAUACAUCUGGUUAAGAGUCCCUGCAUUUAGGGUUGAGAGGGUCACGGGAAGAUGGAAUGGUGAUCAUGAGAGCACUUUGGGAGGAGUUUGAAUUCAUUUUCACUGGAGAAAAAGAAGCAUUCUGCAGGUAACAGCUGGCAGCGUUAACCUAUUGUCAACACUGUCAGAAAUGAGAGGAGAUUUUUCUGUUUGUUUUAGUAAUAACCUAUGCACAGGCCCUGAUAAGUCCUGGACAACAGACAGCACUGUGUGUUCUUGAGCAGCCACUUCCUUCUUUGGCAGAAGUUAACAAUUACAGACCAGUAGUUUCCUAAUAAGACUUCAAACGGCACUCGAAUUAAAGAUAACUCCGUGAGGAUGUUUGGUUGACAGCCAUGGUGGUAUUCAUCUCACAGGGGCUGUGAGCACCCAGAAGCCCUCCGGUCGCUCUCAGUGCAGCCCUGCCCUGCGAAGCCUGGCAGCCACCCCAGCAGACAAUUACCAGUUUGGGGAUGCCAGAGCACUGAAGUCCUGUUUGGCUGCCUCUGCCCAGGCAACAUCCUUAUGGGACUGGAUUGUAUCAGCAAAUGAUGAGCAGGCACAUGGAUUGGUGUUAAUUCUUUUUCAGUGUGCUGUUCCUCCUGCUGCCAAGAGCUCAAUUGUUGCACAGAUACUGGAGAUCUAUUGCCUAUUCAGAAGGCAGAGUGAAUUAUUCUUUGGUAUUUGCAGAACUAUGGCAACAGCCAAAAAUGUAAGAGGUGUAUUCGGGAUGAGAUGACCAAGAGAGUGAACAAAGCAAGCAAGCUGUUACAAGUAAUCUCUGAAACUGCGUGGGACAUCGCAACGUCUGGGAUGUCUGCUGGCACUGCAGAAAAGGACCGGAUUGCGAUGGGAGCUUCCCAAUACAGAGAGCUGAGCUCCUGUGUGCUGUGUCUGGUCCUGCUUUGCCACGCUGGACCCAGAUGAAAGCUGCUCCCAUCACACAGCAGAUGAAUACCAACUUGCAGGCAUAGCGAGGACACCACCAGGACAAAGCACAGAGCUCCUGGGCAGCAUCCCAGCUCUGAGCAGUGUGCAGCAGGCAGGUGGCUGCUGAGAAGUGGGAUUCCUUAGGUGUGGUGCAGCCGCAUCCACGUGCUGGCACUGCCCAUCCUGCUUGUUGACAUUGCAUGCGCAAAUCACAGGUGUGACAUCCGUAUGUUUCCUAAACAAUGUGUUGAAAGCAUGGUGGCUCGGGAGGGAUUUGUACAGCAGAGAGCAAGU